rnacentral:tRNA from 1 species
GCGGCCAUAGUCUAGCCAGGUCUAGGACAUCGGCUUCCCGAGCCGAGGACCCGGGUUCAAAUCCCGGUGGCCGCA